CUGUAUCUACCCCAGCACUUAGAACGGUGCUCUGCACAUAGCAUGUUACCAAUCGUGUUUUAAUCUGUUUUAAUCUGCCCAAGCCAGAAUGAACAAGAGAGGGUUUGAUUCAUAACCCCAAUAUAAAGGAGGACUCUGAUCCAGCUAUCAGUCAAAUACAGGUAGUGAGCAUAGGCACAGACACCCUUUGACCAAAAGAAGCACUCAGAGGUGGGGAAAGUUGGGUGAAGUGUCCUAACAUCAGAUCUGCUCCCCAGGCCUACCCACUUACAACUUGGGAGGAGGAAGGAGUAAAUCCUUGGAGGUAAACUGGGGAAACAAUCCCUUACCAAAGACAACCAACUAGUGAUUGCUUGAUUGGCUUAUAUCCUCAGGGGCUCAUUUUCCCAUGCUUGUCAUAGCCUGGUAAUCUUUGGAGAAUGUACACCCUGUUAUGAGCACUGGAGACACAAAACUCAACCCCUUCAUUCACAAGUGUAUAGCCUUAAGGAUCCUCUGGCCCUUCAAUUAUGUCAUAUCUGGAAGUUAACGCCUACCUGUGAAGAAACACUUGCUCGUUGGCAGACAUCAGCUCAGGAUGCCUCAACUAUGAAGAACAUGCGUUUAGUUAUUAAAGGGCAGGCAAGUAAUCAUGUUCACAUUUGUUAAGCAAACACCUAUGCAGAUAGAAGUUCAAAGCUGUCCACAGGUAAAGUAAGUGAGCCCUGCAACAGCUUGGCAUUAUCUGUAGUGUUUUUCUAGCCUGCCUUUCGGCCACUGAAAGAGGGUAUUUGGAACCUGCAUGUACAAGUUUAAUAUUCUGGUAAGGCUGCCAGAUCUUUAAUAUCAAAACAGUAAUUAGCAUGAAGCAUUGUGCAAUUAAGCCACACCUAAAAAACCCUGAGCUUGGAAGUUCUGGCCAGAUUUUUUGAUCCAAAAAAAAAAAAUGAAAUUUGAGCUCUGACUUUUUCAAUAGGUAUAGAGAGGUGUGAAUACAGGCUUUUUCCUACUCGAAGAGCUGAAUGAGUCUAACUUAUUUAGCCAGUUUUCUGCUAUUAGGAAUUACAGGACCAUCCACUAUUUUAAGGUUCAAAUUUUUCAAGAAAAGGAGCUGAGUGAUGUUUCAUCGAAAAAGAAGCUAUCAGUGAUAUGCACGUCAGCUACAGGGAGAUUGGGCCGCAAGGUAAUUCGAUUUUGAUAAGUGAAUAUUUCUUUCCAGAUCUCAAAAGAGUAAAGUGGAGGAUUCCUUAAAUUAAGGAAGGUCUUAUCAAACCCAUGUGAAAUAUUUGUAUAGUACAACAUAUAUCUUUUACUUUAAAAAUCAUAAAUACUCCAGAAAGGAGGAGGACGAGGAGAAGUUUACUUGUGGCUAUCAGAUUUGUGACUGAAUUCAACCAAAUUGAAGUUGUUCAAGGUUUUAGGUAACCUCAAAGGGCACCAUAUAAAUCCACUGAGAGGGAGAGAGAUGGAGUUAGCUUGUUAUAACCCUAUUAAUGGGAGACAUGAUCAGAAUUACUACACUUUUCUUUCCCUUGGAAAGAACAGAGACUUUAAGAGCUUGCAUUUUAGACAUGGUUCUUUAAACAAAGUGUGUUUAGGAAAGACAAAGUAAAAAAUAGCUCAGAAAUGCCAGUUCACCAUUUAUCUCCUCCGUCCAAGGGGUGAUAUGAUUCAAGGCAGAGAUAUUGUUAAAUUCAUAACCCAGGUGACUUGGUUUAGAGAAGCGCUUCCCAGCACUUUUGUCACAGUCCACUGGAGUGACAUUAAGAGCUCUCAGAUGUGCCCUAGAUUUUAAAUCCUUCAACGUAUUGGAUUUCAUUUAUCUUAUGUAAGUAGGUUCCUAAAUUCAGGAGCAUGCAUGUACAUGAACUGCAUCUAGCCAUCCUAAAAUUACAUCUCCUCCAAGAAGCCCUCCCUGACUAUGCCCUCAUUUCCCCUUCUUGCUUUCUUUCUGC